rnacentral:rRNA from 1 species
AUUGAACGCUGGCGGCAGGCUUAACACAUGCAAGUCGAGCGGAGAUGAGGUGCUUGCACCUUAUCUUAGCGGCGGACGGGUGAGUAAUGCUUAGGAAUCUGCCUAUUAGUGGGGGACAACAUUCCGAAAGGAAUGCUAAUACCGCAUACGCCCUACGGGGGAAAGCAGGGGAUCUUCGGACCUUGCGCUAAUAGAUGAGCCUAAGUCGGAUUAGCUAGUUGGUGGGGUAAAGGCCUACCAAGGCGACGAUCUGUAGCGGGUCUGAGAGGAUGGUCGGCCACACUGGGACUGAGACACGGCCCAGACUCCUACGGGAGGCAGCAGUGGGGAAUAUUGGACAAUGGGCGGAAGCCUGAUCCAGCCAUGCCGCGUGUGUGAAGAAGGCCUUUUGGUUGUAAAGCACUUUAAGCGAGGAGGAGGCUACCUGGAUUAAUACUCUAGGAUAGUGGACGUUACUCGCAGAAUAAGCACCGGCUAACUCUGUGCCAGCAGCCGCUGUAAAAC